rnacentral:rRNA from 1 species
AUACAGAGGGUGCAAGCGUUAAUCGGAAUUACUGGGCGUAAAGCGCGCGUUGGCGGUUUAAUCAGUCGGAUGUGAAAGCCCCGGGCUCAACCUGGGAACUGCAUUCGAUACUGUUAAGCUAGAGUAUGGUAGAGGGAAGUGGAAUUCCAGGUGUAGCGGUGAAAUGCGUAGAUAUCUGGAGGAACAUCAGUGGCGAAGGCGACUUCCUGGACCAAUACUGACGCUGAGGUGCGAAAGCGUGGGGAGCAAACAGGAUUAGAAACCCUAGUAGUCC